UACGUAGGGGGCAAGCGUUGUCCGGAUUUAUUGGGCGUAAAGAGCGUGUAGGCGGUUCGGUAGGUCCGUUGUGAAAACUCGAGGCCCAACCUCGAGACGCCGAUGGAAACCCCCGAACUAGAGUCCGGAAGAGGAGAGUGGAAUUCCUGGUGUAGCGGUGAAAUGCGCAGAUAUCAGGAAGAACACCCGUGGCUAAGGCGGCUCUCUAGUACGGUACUGACGCUGAGACGCGAAAGCGUGGGGAGCGAACAGG
rnacentral:rRNA from 1 species